GUGUUGCAUGGCUGUCGUCAGCUCGUGUCGUGAGAUGUUGGGUUAAGUCCCGCAACGAGCGCAACCCUCAUCCUUAGUUGCCAUCAGGUAAUGCUGAGUACUUUAAGGAAACUGCCAGUGAUAAGCUGGAGGAAGGUGGGGAUGAUGUCAAGUCAUCAUGGCCUUUAUGGAGUGGGCUACACACGUGCUACAAUGGUGUUUACAAUGGGCUGCAAGGUGCGCAAGCCUAAGCUAAUCCCUAAAAGACAUCUCAGUUCGGAUUGUACUCUGCAACUCGAGUACAUGAAGUUGGAAUCGCUAGUAAUCGUGGAUCAGCAUGCCACGGUGAAUACGUUCUCGGGUCUUGUACGCACUGCCUGUCACGCCAUGGGAAUUGGUUUC
rnacentral:rRNA from 1 species